UUUGUGUUUGGUGCUGACUGUUUGGAUUAACAAAGGCUUAAGUUUGCCAGUUGGCGGCACAAAUGAAAGACAUGAUUAUGAGCGGCAGAGGAGAAUGAUUAAGAUGUGUCUCCCAAUGAUCUCUCCAUGAAG